rnacentral:rRNA from 1 species
UACGAAGGGUGCAAGCGUUACUCGGAAUUACUGGGCGUAAAGCGUGCGUAGGGGGUUUGUUAAGUCUGUUGUGAAAGCCCCGGGCUCAACCUGGGGAUGGCAAUGGAUACUGGCAGGCUAGAGUGCGGUAGAGGGUAGUGGAAUUCCCGGUGUAGCGGUGAAAUGCGUAGAGAUCGGGAGGAACACCAGUGGCGAAGGCGGCUACCUGGACCAGCACUGACACUGAGGCACGAAAGCGUGGGGAGCAAACAGG